UACGGGGGGGGGCAAGCGUUGUUCGGAAUUACUGGGCGUAAAGAGCUCGUAGGCGGCUCGGUAAGUCGGGUGUGAAACCUCCAGGCUCAACCUGGAGACGCCACUCGAUACUGCCGUGGCUAGAGUCCGGUAGAGGAGCGUAGAAUUCCUGGUGUAGCGGUGAAAUGCGCAGAUAUCAGGAGGAAUACCAGCGGCGAAGGCGGCGCUCUGGGCCGGUACUGACGCUGAGGAGCGAAAAGCGUGGGGAGCAAACAGG
rnacentral:rRNA from 1 species